CCUCUCUUUACUCAAUGUUAGGCUGCAAUAUGUGGAGGCCACACAGACAGAGACUAGCAUUGCCAAAGGAAUAACAGGCACCUGAGGACAGCACUAUACAAUCCUCACAGACAUCAGGUACCAGCUUGAGGGCCUGGAAAAUGUGCAAAGAAGAAACAGAGUAAGAAGCCUUGGGGAGAUGGAGGUUCGGGUAGACCUGGGAGAGACUAGAACAGCCCUAUUCAAUUACAUACUAGGCCAACUUGCACGUACCCCGGUCCCUAUGGACAAAGCACAUAGAGCCCUACACCCAUGUUCCAUGACCUCUGGCCCACCAAGUAAUGUUAUUUGCUGCAUUAAAGAAUUCCCUCUUAACGGUGAGUUUAUACAGAAG